rnacentral:rRNA from 1 species
AUUGAACGCUGGCGGCAUGCUUUACACAUGCAAGUCGAACGGUAACAGGCCGCAAGGUGCUGACGAGUGGCGAACGGGUGAGUAAUGCAUCGGAACGUGCCCAGUCGUGGGGGAUAACGCAGCGAAAGCUGUGCUAAUACCGCAUACGAUCUAUGGAUGAAAGCGGGGGACCGUAAGGACUCGCGCGAUUGGAGCGGCCGAGGUCAGAUUAGGUAGUUGGUGGGGUAAAGGUUCAACAAGCCAACGAUCGGUAGCUGGUCUGAGAGGACGAACAGCGACACUGGGUCAGAGACGCGGCCCAGAAUCAUACGGGAGGCAGCAGUGGGGAAUUUUGGGCAAUGGGCCCAAGCCUGAUCCAGCGAUGCCGCGUGCAGGAAGAAGUCCUUUGGGUUGUAAACUGCUUAUGUACGGAACGAAAAGGUGUGGGUUAAUCCCCUGGGCCGAUGACGGUACCGUAAGAAUAAGCACCGGCUAACUACGUGCCAGCCGCCGCCGUAA